rnacentral:rRNA from 1 species
UGGGGAAUAUUGCACAACUGGCGGAAACCAAUGAUGCAGCACAUGCCGAGAGUAUGAAGAAGGCAUUCGGGUUGUAAAGUACUUUCAGUUGUGAGGAAGGCGUUGGAGUUAAUAACUCAGCGCAUGACGUAUACUCAUGAGACGAAGCACCGGCUAACUCCGUGC